GCGUCGGUGGUGCAACGGUUCAGCACACGCUUUCGGAGACAGUGAGGUGUGGGUUCAAAUCCCGGCUGAUGCA